rnacentral:rRNA from 1 species
UAAGACAGAGGGUGCAAGCGUUAAUCGGAAUUACUGGGCGUAAAGGGCUCGUAGGUGGUCAACUAAGUCGGAUGUGAAAUCCCUGGGCUUAACCUAGGACAGUCAUUCGAGACUGGUUGGCUAGAGUUGGAUAGAGGAAAGCGGAAUUUCCGGUGUAGCGGUGAAAUGCGUAGAUAUCGGAAGGAACACCAGUGGCGAAGGCGGCUUUCUGGAUCCAAACUGACACUAAGGAGCGAAAGCGUGGGUAGCAAACAGG